AUUGAACGCUGGCGGCAUGCCUUACACAUGCAAGUCGAACGGUAACAGGUCUUCGGAUGCUGACGAGUGGCGAACGGGUGAGUAAUGCAUCGGAACGUGCCCAGUCGUGGGGGAUAACUGCUCGAAAGAGCAGCUAAUACCGCAUACGACCUGAGGGUGAAAGCGGGGGACCGUAAGGCCUCGCGCGAUUGGAGCGGCCGAUGUCAGAUUAGCUAGGUGGUGGGGUAAAGGCCUACCAAGGCAACGAUCUGUAGUUGGUCUGAGAGGACGACCAGCCACACUGGGACUGAGACACGUCCCAGACUCCUACGGGAUGCAGCAGUGGGGAAUUUUGGACAAUGGGCGCAAGCCUGAUCCAGCAAUGCCGCGUGCAGGAAGAAGGCCUUCGGGUUGUAAACUGCUUUUGUCAGGGAAGAAAUCCUCUGGGUUAAUACCUCGGGGGGAUGACGGUACCUGAAGAAUAAGCACCGGCUAACUACGUGCCAGCAGCCGCGGUAAUAC
rnacentral:rRNA from 1 species